rnacentral:ncRNA from 1 species
CAAAAGGCUAUGAUGAGAAAUAGUAAGUAUCUUGGAUUUAUCAGAGAGAAGGCAUUGGUGUGAGCCUUUAAUGAAUAGAUACCCAACCAAUCUUUGAGCUGUGUGCCGAACGGAAAAAGAUAUCUUUUUUCAGUAAGUUCCACCGGGUUCUCCCGUAACAGAGAUAAAGUAUCAGAUAAUUAUCUUGUACUUAAUGAGAACGGAUUUAUUCCGUAUUUAGGUGGUACCGUGGACUUGGUUAUAGUUCGCCCUAGAU